CUCUCCCGGGGAAGUCGCUGCCCUUACCUUCAGCAGGACCUCGCGCCUCUGGGUCUGCGCCCGCUGGCAUCUCCGCUCAGUCCUCCAGCUACCCACUGCCUGCCUGCCGCCUACCAUGGCCCUGCUGCACUCUGGCCGCGUCCUGUUCGGAGUCGCCGCGGCUUUCCACCCAGGCCUCGCUGCCGCGGCUUCUGCCAGAGCCAGCUCCUGGUGGGCUACA